rnacentral:tRNA from 1 species
AGACUGGUAGCUCAGUUGAAAGAGUGCCACUGUACUAUGCUAAAGGUCACAGGUUCAAUCCCUGUCUAGUCCA